rnacentral:rRNA from 1 species
UUCGCAAUGCCCGAAAGGGUGACGAAGCGACGCCGCGUGCGGGAAGAAGGCCUUCGGGUUGUAAACCGCUGUCGGGAGUUAAGAAAUGUAAGGAUGUUAAUAGCAUCUUUGCUUGACUAAGGCUCCGGAGGAAGCCACGGCUAACUCUGUGCCAGCAGCCGCGGUAAUACAGAGGCGGCAAGCGUUGUUCGGAAUUAUUGGGCGUAAAGAGCACGUAGGCGGCUAUGUAAGUCGGUUGUGAAAGCCUUCCGCUCAACGGGAGAACAGCAUCCGAUACUGCAUGGCUUGAGUGCGGGAGGGGGGAGUGGAACUUCUGGUGGAGCGGUGAAAUGCGUAGAUAUCAGAAGGAACGCCGGCGGCGAAAGCGGCUCUCUGGCCCAUAACUGACGCUGAGUGUGCGAAAGCUAGGGGAGCAAACGGGAUUAGAUACCCCGGUAGUCCUAGCCGUAAACGAUGGGCACUAAGUAGAGGGGUUUU